rnacentral:rRNA from 1 species
GACGAACGCUGGCGGCGUGCUUAACACAUGCAAGUCGAGCGGCGCGGCGCACGGGUGAGUAACGCGUGAGUAACUGCCCCCCUCUCUGGGAUAACAGUUGGCAACGGCUGCUAAUACCGGAUAGUGGGGGAUGACUCGCGGCCUAUCAGCUUGUUGGUGGGGUAGGGGCCUACCAAGGCGACGACGGGUAGCCGGCCUGAGAGGGCGACCGGCCGCAUUGGGCUGAGAUACGGCCCAAACGGCUACGGGAGGCAGCGGUGGGGAAUAUUGCACAAUGGGGGAAGCCGUGAUGCAGCAGCGCCGCGUGCGGGAGGACGGCCUUCGGGUUGCAAACCGCUUUCAGCCAUGACGCGGUAGUGGCAGAAGAAGCACCGGCUAACUACGUGCCAGCAGCCGCGGUAAUAC